rnacentral:rRNA from 1 species
GUCUACCACCAUACCACCUUGAAAAUGCCUGAUCUCAGAAGCUAAGCAGGGUUGGGACUGGUUUAGUACUUGGAUGGGGGAAACUCCCAAGUGUGGGAGAAA